rnacentral:rRNA from 1 species
AACGAACGCUGGCGGCGUGCCUAACACAUGCAAGUCGUGCGGGAAAGUUCUCUUCGGAGAGCGAGUACAGCGGCGCACGGGUGAGUAACACGUAGGUAACCUGCCCCUAAGACUAGGAUAACCUGUCGAAAGACGGGCUAAUACUAGAUAAGACCACGGAAGCUUCGGCCUCUGGGGUAAAAGUUGGCCUCUGCUUGCAAGCUAACACUUGGGGAUGGGCCUGCGCGCCAUAGCUAGUUGGUGGGGUAACGGCCUACCAAGGCGGAGAUGGCUAGCUGGUCUGAGAGGAUGGCCAGCCACACUGGGACUGAGACACGGCCCAGACUCCUACGGAGGCAGCAGUGGGGAAUAUUGCGCAAUGGGCGAAAGCCUGACGCAGCGACGCCGCGUGGGUGA